rnacentral:rRNA from 1 species
UACGUAGGGAGCAAGCGUUGUCCGGAAUCAUUGGGCGUAAAGCGCGCGUAGGUGGCCACAUAAGUCCGUUGUGAAAGUCAAAGGCUCAACCUUUGAAAGCCGAUGGAUACUGUGUGGCUAGAGUACGGAAGAGGCGAGUGGAAUUCCUGGUGUAGCGGUGGAAUGCGCAGAUAUCAGGAGGAACACCAAUAGCGAAGGCGGCACUCUGGGCCGGUACUGACGCUGAGGAGCGAAAGCGUGGGGAGCAAACAGG